CACAGCACGAGAUGACCCAUAACCCGAAAUCCUACGUCGUUCGGGUUAUUGGGUCAUCUCGUGCUGUG
rnacentral:sRNA from 1 species